UCCGGCGACAGAGGUGGAGCGAUGCUGCCUGGCUACCGAUCUGCUUCAUUUCUCUAAGAGUAGCUCUGAAAUUGGUAGUCACAACAACAGCUCGGCCAGAAACUACGAGCCCACCCAGCUAGCAAGACUCGAAGUCUCUGCCCCAUGGUGUGAUGAGAAUCCUCGUCUGUGUUCACUUAUGGUAGCUACAGUUUUUGUAACAUUUGUAACAGAUUGAGUUGCUGGAAGAGUAA